CCCUCCUACAAAGGAGUGUCUGUGGCUCCCUAUCUUUGGACACAUAAGAAUUAGAGGCAAAGAAAUGUGAACUUGAAGAAGUCUGGAACCAGCCUACUCCCUACAGGCUCAAGAUCAAUCAUCCCACGUAG